rnacentral:rRNA from 1 species
UACAGAGGGGGCAAGCGUUAUUCGGAAUUAUUGGGCGUAAAGGGCGCGUAGGCGGCUUUGCAAGUGGCGGGUGAAAUCCCUCGGCUUAACCGAGGAACUGCCUGCCAGACUGCAAGGCUCGAGACCGGGAGAGGUGAGUGGAAUUCCCAGUGUAGCGGUAGAAAUGCGUAGAUAGUUGGGAGGAACACCAGUGGCGAAGGCGGCUCACUGGACCGGAACUGACGCUGAGGCGGCGAAAGCGUGGGGAGCAAACAGG